UUCCCGCGGGGACCGUUUGCGCGACCCUUUUAACUCUCCCAACCCGCAUCGUUCUUAUCCCAUCCUUCCUUUCCACAGACUCCGUGGGUCUGAUAAGCACAGGGCUGCAGAUCCUGGGAACAGGUCUCUCCUCGGCGGGAGCGAAGGGAGACAUGCUUUGAGUUCCGGAAGGGCUUGCAGGAGUGACGUUUGGCCUGAAAUCUCAAGAUUGCGUGGGAAUUACCAAGGCCCAGAAAUCACUUUCUGUUUCCCUACUCAGCUUGUCUACCAUUUUCCACGGUUGCCAUUGCAACCUUCCUCACUCUGCUCAAAACUUUCUCCAAGCCGUGAUCCAAGAAAAGUCCAUUUCCAUCAAAAUCAUUGCAAGCUACAUUUAUCCCAAGGAAAGACGCCCAGACUACAAAAAUAUCCUGCCGCAGAACCAAGGGUGGAAGAUAUUUGGUUUUACUGAGCUUUAUCUAGUACACCUGCAUUAAUGGGUGUCUGCCUC
ensembl:lncRNA ZFP3-DT ZFP3 divergent transcript